rnacentral:lncRNA from 1 species
GAGAGGUUCCAGAUCGUGGAUGAGAAUGAAGCUAUGAGGGAUGACUUUGAGUCCUCCUGCACCACCAUCGUUGUCGGAGAGGUUCCAGAUCAUGGAUGAGAAUGAAGCUAUGAGGGAUGACUUGGAGGUAGGGAGUUUGAUCCUCCACUACGUUCCUAUCAUUUCCUCCUUCGACCUCCAAGAAAAAAUCCACGUGUCAAAUGAAACAUGUAUUAAGAGGGCCAUGUGUCAAAUGGAGGCAUCUUCAUUGAGAAGCCUUCAUUUUAAUACACACACGCACUAGCAUAUAACCCGCACUAUGCAUGGAGAUACUUUUUUGUCUUAUCUAAAAGAUAUAUCAACUAGGUCACAUGAGCAAAUGAUGUUAUUUUACAAUAUAAGAAAAUCUUUUAUCCUAUAAAUGAGUCUUAGGCAAGGGAUGAGUAGAUAUAUAAGGCCCAUUGAGAAUCACAUGAGCUAAUAAAUCCAUACUGUAUCAUAGAUUCUUUUCUACCUCAAUAGUGUAAUUAUGCAGAUUCAUGCCUUAGUUGUAAUUUAAUUAGAUGUCUGGAUAUACAUCACAA